UACAGAGGAGCCAAGCGUUGUCCGGAUUGACUGGGCGUAAAGCGCACGCAGGCGGUCGCGCGCGUGGGGUGUGAAAUCUGGCCGCUUAACGGCCAGGCGCCAUCCCAUACGGCGCGACUGGAGUGAUGCAGAGGUCGAUGGAAUUGCCGGUGUAGUGGUGAAAUGCGUAGAGAUCGGCAGGAACACCCAGGGGGAAACCAGUCGACUGGGCAUCUACUGACGCUGAGGUGCGAGAGCGUGGGGGAGCGAACCGG
rnacentral:rRNA from 1 species